AAGUAAAUCGAAGCUGGGAGAAACGUUGAAAUUGCCCACUUGGAAACGACUACAUGGCCCAAGGAUACAUUGGUGUUGAUGGUGGAUUGUCAGUCGGCAAAACUUAGCGUGGCAACUAGUGCUCGUCAAUUUGUGCCCAGGGAUGGUUGCUUAUGAAUACAGGUGCCGGUGGUAGCAGCUCAAAAAGUAUGCCAAAUUGAAGGAAAGUUAUUCUAUUUAUUUUUGCGAAUGUUAGAAGAUGUUCACGAUUUGAAUACCGAUAAUUACAGCAGAACCCCUCCAUGCUCGAGCCCAUACAACAGUCAUCAUACUUGCUGUAUAAUUGUGCAUGAAUCAUUUGGUUGAAAUACAAGCCACCUUGCUUAAGAAGACUUGUAUCUAAAUGAUGGGAACUUUUCAUUCCUAUUUAGAGGAAGUUACGGACAGAAGUUUUAUUUGAUUGAAAUAGCAAGCACAUCACUAACGAACACCACAAGCGGAAGAUCUGUAUCUGAUUUCUGUGAACCUCUCAGUCCCAAUUAUAAAAAAUCACAAUCGGCAGUUUGUGGUCAAAUAUAGACUUUUGCUAUGCUAUCCUUGAUCUAAGUAUACCCAAGCAAAGAUAGAGGACAUUGCUUCACUCAAUUAUAGAUUACGCCAAUGCCCAGUGAUUCUUUUUCUAAGGUGCAAGUAACAAAAUCACUGCACUAUCUCAAUAUCUUAUAACUGUAGGAAAUGUUUGCAUGCAUUUUAUGGA